rnacentral:lncRNA from 1 species
UAGUUCAGGUUGCUAAGUUGAGUUCUGGAGGAAGCUGGCUUUGUGGAAAACAGUUUGGCUUUAGCAGACAAGGCUGACAGGAAGCAGACAGCUGGGCAGCUCGUGUAAAUAGCUCUAGACUUGCCUAACGAAGCAACUCAUCGCACAGCAGACGGAUGGAGAAUGAUAAAAAUGUGUCACGCGUCAGGACAGUGGCCGUACUCAAGACUGGCAGGAGAAUGGUUAAGAACCUGCUUAGCAAUGAAGGCAGUGACUGCACUAACAUGUGAGAAAGAAGACAGAGAUGGGAAAGCAGCAGCAGGACUCGCUGGCCUUAGUUUAAAAGGCCCCAGAAAGCAACACUGAUGGCUGAACAAAGGCAGCACUGUACCCUGAGCCCAGCACAAGCCUUCGCUCUCUGUCCUGCAACUCCUCAGCUGGCCCGGCCUCUACACAUCUAUUUCUCAUUGAUACGGAUGCACUUUUACUGCCACUGCCUUCUCUGAGAUUCCAAACAGACCUGCAAACCUCCCUUGCCUGCUCUAACGAUACCGACCUACCUGCCUUUGGAGAAGGGGCCCUAGGGACCAGCAAACUCAAUUCAGAAAGGGCCAGAGAGGUGUCAACUGAGGACUCAGAUACCAAAUCAUCAAAUCUACAAGGACUG